rnacentral:rRNA from 1 species
GACGAACGCUGGCGGCGUGCUCAACACAUGCAAGUCGAGCGGUAAGGCCCUUUCGGGGGUACACGAGCGGCGAACGGGUGAGUAACACGUGGGUGACCUGCCCUCAGCUCUGGGAUAAGCCUGGGAAACCGGGUCUAAUACUGGAUAUGACUCCAUGACGCAUGUUGUGGGGUGGAAAGCCUUGUGCGGCUGAGGAUGGGCCCGCGGCCUAUCAGCUUGUUGGUGGGGUGAUGGCCUACCAAGGCGACGACGGGUAGCCGGCCUGAGAGGGCGACCGGCCACACUGGGACUGAGACACGGCCCAGACUCCUACGGGAGGCAGCAGUGGGGAAUCUUGCGCAAUGGGCGAAAGCCUGACGCAGCGACG